rnacentral:rRNA from 1 species
UACGGAGGGGGCAAGCGUUAUUCGGAAUCAUUGGGCGUAAAGGGCGCGUAGGCGGCUUGGCAAGUCAAAGGUGAAAGCCCUCGGCCUAACCGAGGAACUGCCUUUGAUACUGCUUGGCUUGAGGCCGGGAGAGGGUAGCGGAAUUCCAAGUGUAGUGGUGAAAUGCGUAGAUAUUGGGAGGAACACCAGUGGCGAAGGCGGCUAGCUGGACCGGUUCUGACGCUGAGGCGCGAAAGCGUGGGGAGCAAACAGG